rnacentral:lncRNA from 1 species
UUAUACUAGUUGGAACUAAUCUCAUGAAUACCAAACUCACACAUUGGAGGGAGAAGUCAUGACAAUUAUGGAAGCAAUUGAAGUAAAGAUGCAAAGAGGCUUAUUCCAUGUCUUUCUUUAAAGUGACUCAAAAAUUAUGGUUGAUGUUAUGGAGUAUCUUAGUUUAGUAUUUUGAUUUCUCACAUUACGUUUAUUAUCGUUGAAUAACAACUUUGAGGUCAAGUUUGUUAAGGACUUAAUGUGAAGGAAUCAACUCUGAUAGAUUGUUCCUUAAUACGUUGAUUCCUAUUCUAUGUCUAAUCACCGUAUUUUCGAGUUGAUUCCUUGUUGUAUUGAUACUUAUUUGAUUAAUGAAAUGCGUUAAGUUUGCUUUUGUCAAACAAAAAAAAAAAUCCUAUGUGAUUUUUCUUCAAUUUAAUGUAUGUGUGAAC